rnacentral:rRNA from 1 species
AUCGACGGGGAGGUUUGGCACCUCGAUGUCGGCUCAUCGCAUCCUGGGGCUGUAGUCGGUCCCAAGGGUUGGGCUGUUCGCCCAUUAAAGCGGUACGCGAGCUGGGUUCAGAACGUCGUGAGACAGUUCGGUCCCUAUCCGUCGCGGGCGCAGGAAAUUUGAGAGGAGCUGUCCUUAGUACGAGAGGACCGGGAUGGACGCACCGCUGGUGUACCAGUUGUUCUGCCAAGGGCAUCGCUGGGUAGCUAUGUGCGGACGGGAUAAGUGCUGAAAGCAUCUAAGCAUGAAGCCCCCCUCAAGAUGAGAUUUCCCAUUCCGCAAGGAAGUAAGAUCCCUGAAAGAUGAUCAGGUUGAUAGGUCUGAGGUGGAAGUGUGGCGACACAUGGAGCUGACAGAUACUAAUCGAUCGAGG